UCUUUGGGAAUUCUCUGCUGCUGACGGACACUUGAUUCUCACUCUGGACCUUUAUUAUAUAUAUUAAAAUAUUUAUUCAAUGUGAUUUUAAAUAAAAACUCUGGAUUGUUCUACAUCUCUCUUCUUCUCACAGAUUCAGAUGGAGAAGAGAAAGAAAAUCACAUCCAGAAAACUGCUGGAGCCUCAGAAAUCACAGAGCAGCAGAAAACAAGAAGACAGAGAGAGAAAUGGAGACACAAACCAGUGGAUCACAAGAGAGAAGAGGACAGAGAGUUGAGAGACGUGGCAGUAUGGAAGUAAACUUACACUUGUCAUGUGAUCCAGACGAGCCUGUAAAGAUUGAUUCUGAUGUCAAAAGUGAGGAGAGAUUCUCCCAUCAAAACCUUCAUCACUGACGACCUGAACAUCACCAUCUUCAUCAUCACAACCAUCUUCAUCAUCAUCUUCAUCAUGGUCUGUUCUCUCCUGUCUUCUGGAAUCUUCUACAGACUCCUCUGAGCUCAAACACUCUCAUCAAGAGCUUCUUUCUCAGGAGGUUUACACAACACCGUUUUCAGCUGAAAGCUUUUAUUCAUUUUAGCUGUUCAUUUACACGAUAACGGUGUUCUGGUGGCCUGAAAACACAAACUUUUGAAAAAGGGUUUCAAAGUGCAAGUUUGUGAAAACGAUACCGUUAUCAUCUCCGUGUGAACUGAAAAAGGGAAUCUGUGAAACAGUGACGUCAUGCACGUUUAAUCUCUCCACAUUAUUUUUCAACCCUGAAAUAAGGUGUUUUCUGUGAAUGUCUGAGACUUCUGAUUUAUUAUCCGCUACAGGGAAAUAACCAGAAGAAUAUGAAGGAGCAGUAAACUGUAAAAAUAAGCUGGAUAGACGUGUGUGUUUGGAGUGAGUGUAAGAGAAUGUGUGUGUGAUCACCAAAUACUUGUCUGGCGUGUGUCAUACAGUGUUUUAGUCAUUUUUGUGGAUCCGUGUGAACGGAGAAAGUGUUGAUAAUGUUGUCAUCCGUAUAGAGAAAACACUUUUCCGUUUUUAGUACUGAACUCUCAUUGUUCUCCAUCUGCUCUAAAUGUUUCUCUGUCUCUGAUGAUGGUGAUUGAUGAUGUUCUGUAUAUCAGACUGUCAGACAUUCAGACUCUCUCUCACUCCUACAAACACUCAGUGUGUUCAGUUCACUGGAGCAGCAGGAGUUUGAUCGUCUGAAACUGAAGGAACGAGAAACUCCUCACAGAAACUCGAGACUUUCUUACUGUGAGACAUCAGCACUACCCUGAGAGACAUUUUAUUUGAUUCUGUAUACUGUACAUAUAUAUUUUAAUAUUCACUUUAUAUU